rnacentral:rRNA from 1 species
GACGAACGCUGGCGGCGUGCCUAAUACAUGCAAGUCGAACGCAGUGGGGCCGGGUGAGUAACACGUGGGUAACCUCCCAUCAGAGGGGAUAACACUUGGAAACAGGUGCUAAACCGAUACUGAUGGAUGGACCCGCGGUGCAGUAGCUAGUUGGUGAGGUAACGGCUCACCAAGGCCACGAUGCAUAGCGGAGCUGAGAGGGUGAUCGGCCACACUGGUACUGGUACACGGCCCAGACUCCUACGGUGUGCAGCAGGAGGGAAUCUUGGGCAAGGGGCGAGAGUCUGACACAGCCAUGCCGCGUGUGUGAAGAAGGUUUUAGGAUCGUAAACUACUGUUGUUAGAGAAGCGGUAUCUAACGAAUAAGCCACGGCUAACUACGUGCCAGCAGCCGAGGUAAUAC